AAUUAACGCUGGCGGCAUGCGUAACACAUGCAAGUCGUACGAGAAAGCCCGGUUCGCCGGGCGAGUAAAGUGGCGCACGGGUGAGUAACGCGUGGGUAAUCUACCCCGGUCUGGGGGAUAACGCACCGAAAGGUACGCUAAUACCGCAUGACCCGACGGGUCCCUGGACCCAUCGGCAAAGGUGGCCUCUGCAUGCAAGCUACCGAACCGGGAUGAGCCCGCGUCCUAUUAGCUUGUUGGUGGGGUAAUGGCCCACCAAGGCGACGAUGGGUAGCUGGUCUGAGAGGACGGCCAGCCACACUGGAACUGGUACACGGUCCAGACUCCUACGGGAGGCAGCAGUGAGGAAUAUUGCGCAAUGGGGGAAACCCUGACGCAGCGAUGCCGCGUGGGUGAAGAAGGCCUUCGGGUCGUAAAGCCCUGUCAGGCGGGAAGAAUAGCCCCGGGGCUAAUAUYUCCGGGGUGURACGGUACCGCUGAAGGAAGCACCGGSUAACUCCGUGCCAGCAGCCGCGGUAAGACGGAGGGUGCGAGCGUUAUUCSGAAUUAUKGGGCGUAAAGGGCGUGCAGGCGGCCSGCCAAGUYUGAUGUGAAAGCCCGGGSYUUAMCCUCGRAAGGGCGUKGRAAACUGGUUGGCUUGAGUUCGGGAGAGGARAAGCGRAAUUUYSGGUGUAGAGGUGAAAUUCGUAGAUAUCCGRRGGAMCACCGUGGCGAAAGGCGGCUUUUCUGGACCGAAACUGACGCUGARACGCGAAAGCGUGGGGAGCAAACAGGAUUAGAUACCCUGGUAGUCCACGCUGUAAACGAUGGGCACUAGGKGKKGGGGGKUUUUAAUCCCUCCGUGSCGCAGCUAACGCAUUAARUGCSCCGCCUGGGGAGUACSGCCGCMAGGUUAAAACUCAARGGAWUUGACGGGGGCCCGCACAAGCGGUGGAGCAUGUGGUUCAAUUCGACGCAACGCGAAGAACCUUACCUGGGCUUGACAUGUGGGGAAUCCCAUGGAAACAUGGGAGUGCGUAGCAAUACGAGCCUCAACACAGGUGCUGCAUGGCUGUCGUCAGCUCGUGUCGUGAGAUGUUGGGUUAAGCCCCGCAACGAGCGCAACCCUUGUCUCUAGUUGCCACCAUUCAGUUGGGCACUCUAGAGAGACUGCCGGUGAUAAACCGGAGGAAGGUGGGGACGACGUCAAGUCCUCAUGGCCUUUAUGCCCAGGGCUACACACGUGCUACAAUGGGCGGUACAAAGGGUUGCAAACCCGCGAGGGGGAGCCAAUCCCAAAAAGCCGUCCUCAGUUCGGAUUGGAGUCUGCAACUCGACUCCA
rnacentral:rRNA from 1 species